AGGAUCAUUACUGAUUUGCUUAAUUGCACCACAUGUGUUUUUCUUUGAAACAAACUUGCUUUGGCGGUGGGCCCAGCCUGCCGCCAGAGGUCUAAACUUACAACCAAUUUUUUAUCAACUUGUCACACCAGAUUAUUACUAAUAGUCAAAACUUUCAACAACGGAUCUCUUGGUUCUCGCAUCGAUGAAGAACGCAGCGAAAUGCGAUACGUAAUAUGAAUUGCAGAUAUUCGUGAAUCAUCGAAUCUUUGAACGCACAUUGCGCCCUCUGGUAUUCCGGAGGGCAUGCCUGUUUGAGCGUCGUUUCUCCCUCAAACCGCUGGGUUUGGUGUUGAGCAAUACGACUUGGGUUUGCUUGAAAGACGGUAGUGGUAAGGCGGGAUCGCUUUGACAAUGGCUUAGGUCUAACCAAAAACAUUGCUUGCGGCGGUAACGUCCACCACGUAUAUCUUCAAACUUUGACCUCAAAUCAGGUAGGACUACCCGCUGAACUUAG
rnacentral:rRNA from 1 species